rnacentral:misc_RNA from 1 species
AAAAAACCCAAUUUUUGCAUCUAAAUAACUUAAAAUUAAAUAUUUGAUAAAUUAUAAAAUAAAUUGACAUAUUAGAAAUAAAUUAUUUUAGGUUAUAAUUAUUUAGGCCUUAUUUUUUUAGACAUUGGACUAUGGUGAUGACAGUUAUGGAACUUUUGUAAGAAGUAAGUUGCCAUCCAUGACUCUAUCAAAAAAUUGAGUGCAUCAACUAAGACCCUUUGGUUUUCCCUUUGGAAGUUAAUGCCUUAAUCAAAUGUCCCUCAGACAAAAUAAUG